rnacentral:rRNA from 1 species
UACGUAGGUGGCAAGCGUUGUCCGGAUUUAUUGGGUUUAAAGGGUGCGUAGGCGGCCUUAUAAGUCAGUGCUGAAAUAUCCCGGCUUAACCGGGAGGGUGGCAUUGAUACUGCAAGGCUUGAGUGUAGUCGAGGUAGGCGGAAUUGACGGUGUAGCGGUGAAAUGCUUAGAUAUGACAUAGAACACCAAUUGCGAAGGCAGCUGGCUACACAAAUAUUGACACUGAGGCACGAAAGCGUGGGGAUCAAACAGG